rnacentral:rRNA from 1 species
AGUGAACGCUGGCGGUAGGCCUAACACAUGCAAGUCGAACGGCAGCACAGUAAGAGCUUGCUCUUACGGGUGGCGAGUGGCGGACGGGUGAGGAAUACAUCGGCAUCUACUUUUUCGUGGGGGAUAAUGUAGGGAAACUUACGCUAAUACCGCAUAUGAUCUACGGGUGAAAGCAGUGGAUCUUCGGACCUUGCGCGACUGAAUUAGCCGAUGUCGGAUUAGCUAGUUGGCGGGGUAAAGUCCCACCAAGGCGACGAUCCGUAGCUGGUCUGAGAGGAUGAUCAGCCACACUGGAACUGAGACACGGUCCAGACUCCUACGGGAGGCAGCAGUAGGGAAUAUUGGGCAAUGGGCGAAAGCCUGACCCAGCCAUACCGCGUGGGUGAUGAAGGCCUUCGGAUCGUAAAGCCCUUUUGUUGGGAAAGAAAAGCAGCAGGUUAAUACCUCGCUGUUCUGACGGUACCCAAAGAGUAAGCACCGGCUAACUUCGUG